UUCUACAGCCAUGCCACACUGAAUGUAUCUGAUCCCGUCUGAUCUCGGAAGCUAAGUGGAGUCGGGCCUGGUUAGUACUUGGAUGGGAGACCACCUAGGAAUACCAGGGGCUGUAAGAG
rnacentral:rRNA from 1 species